GGAUAUUAGUUAAUUUUAUAACAUUUAAAUUGCAUUUAAAAAUUAAUACAAAUUUUAUUAUAUCUAA
rnacentral:tRNA from 1 species